AACUGAUACUACCUGCGGGAACCUGCGGAAGGAUCAUUAACACAAAUGAUAAAACCUUUUUUUUUGGUUAAAGAGUGAAAUCUUUAUAGAUUAAUCUCUUUAAUCAAAUUACCACAAUGGAAAAUGUUAAAGUCCAUUAACAUUAUUUUUUAAUGUUUAUGGUCUUUAUAAUUUAACCCUAAUCUAAAAACCACAUUUAAACCAAUUGAAUCUGUUUAUGAUUAUAUCUAAAUCUUAUAA
rnacentral:misc_RNA from 1 species